UCCCUUGACAUCGUGCGAACUUGGUAGAGAUACCUUGGUGCCUUCGGGAACGCACAGACAGGUGCUGCAUGGCUGUCGUCAGCUCGUGUUGUGAAAUGUUGGGUUAAGUCCCGUAACGAGCGCAACCCUUGUCCCUAUUUGCCAGCGAUUCGGUCGGGAACUCUAGGGAGACUGCCGGUGACAAACCGGAGGAAGGUGGGGACGACGUCAAGUCAUCAUGGCCCUUACGGGUAGGGCUACACACGUGCUACAAUGGCCGGUACAAAGGGUUGCGAAUCCGCGAGGUGGAGCUAAUCCCGAAAAGCCGGUCUCAGUCCGGAUCGGAGUCUGCAACUCGACUCCGUGAAGUCGGAAUCGCUAGUAAUCGUGCAUCAGAAUGGCACGGUGAAUACGUUCCCGGGUCUUGUAACACACCGAAA
rnacentral:rRNA from 1 species